UCUUUCAUUUGCUUCUUGGGAAUCGAUUAGCUUCACGGCAGUAGCUAUGCUGUUAUGAUUGUUUUUGUUGUAUCUAUUCUACUUUUUGGGUAUAUAUAUACAUAUACAAUGGCUUCAUUCACACACACCCUUGAUACACAAAUCUCUCUCAGUACACACGCUGAAGCCUUUAGAAUGGCUGAUCAAUUUGAUCUUGCAUCCCAACUCAACCCAGAUUUUACAACCAAAGCAAUUCCCCUUCACUUGGUGCGAACAUAUGCAGUACCUGAAAGCAAUAAAACACAACAAUGCACACCCAAAAAGCCUGAAGGAGUCAAGAGUAUAAAAUGCUUAUUCCAUGAUCAAGAGGUUAGUAAAUAACAAUUCCUACUCCUAUUUUUUUUUUUUUUUUAACUUUUUGUACUGCUUUAGGUGUUCAACUGUAAAGCACAACAAUUGAAGCUUCUUCAUGUCUAGCCACUUUGUUCUUGGGUUUCAAAUCCAUCUUUAUCACACCCAAAAAGCCAUGAGGGUACUUUCAAUGCACACAUAUGAGCUGUCUGAAACAAGAACAAAAAACAAGCAAAAGCAUGGGAGAUACUUAUAUCAUGAUGCAGAGCUAGGCAAAGAGGAGGUUGAUGAGAAAGAUUCUGAAAAAACUCUAAAGCAAUGGCCUCAUCGUGAAGAGGUGUCUUAUGGAGCAAUUCACAAAGGUUGAAGUUCCUAAAAAGAUAAGGAUUGAGCUGAUAAAGAAGAAGAAGAAAUUUUAAUGGAAUUUUAAAGUUGAAUCUGUUCUUCUGUUGUUGUUUUUGGACUGUUAAUCUAUUAUUUCCUAUGUUUUUAAGUUGUUAGGGGUAUGUUCUGCAUUUCUGCUUCUGAAUAUUUUCUGCAGAAAUUUGUAAUAUAUUUUGUUUUCCUUAAAGUCUGUUCAUCUAAUUAUUGUA